ACUAUUUUUCCUUCUCUCUCUUCACUCGCUCUCUCUCUAGUCUCUAUUUUCUCCCACCUUGUUCAUCUUGUUCAUCCUCUUGGAUGAGUUUUCCGGCGGCGGUCACCGUCCGGCCAAACUUUGGUGGCGGCGCUGCCGUUCCGGCCGCCAUCUACCCCUACCGGAAUGCCAAAAAAUUUAAAAAUUAACCCAAAAUCCCUAUUUUUUAGUUUUAAACAUCAAUCAAACAAUAAAAUAUCAAACAAACCUUGAAUCCGAAAAUUCCCAAAAUAGAAAACCUAGAUCUUUACCUAAUCAUGCAUAGAAAAUCAACAAAAAUACAUGCAAAAGAAAGGCUUUGCUCUGUAUUGUGGAGGCAGGAGUUGAUUUAAGGUUCUUAGUUUUCAUGUGUUUUUUGUAUCUCAAUUUUUUAUUUUUUUUAUAUUCUGUUUGGAUUCAUAUUAUGUUAUAAAGAAAAAAUUUUGAUAAAUAUUUUUUUUGAAUUGUUUAUAUCUCCUUGUGUGUUUGAUUUAUGUAAACAAUACUUUAUAAAGUUCUAAAUUAAGAUAAGAUCUUCUUUAUGGUGAGUGAUGUAUGCUCUUCAUAGUGGGCUUCCUCUUCUACA